CUGCUCCUCAGGUUCAUAAGUGUGAAGAUUGGGUGUUCAUGCUCCAUGCAUGACAUGUGCCUCCUUUGAACAUUGUUAUAACCUCGGCACAUUACCCAAAUUAAA
rnacentral:snoRNA from 1 species